UCUCGGCUUAUCACCGGCAGUCCCCCUAGAGUGCCCAACUGAAUGAUGGCAACUAAAGGCGAGGGUUGCGCUCGUUGCGGGACUUAACCCAACAUCUCACGACACGAGCUGACGACAGCCAUGCAGCACCUGUCUCCGGUCCAGCCGAACUGAAGGACUCCAUCUCUGGUGUCCGCGACCGGGAUGUCAAGGGUUGGUAAGGUUCUUCGCGUUGCAUCGAAUUAAUCCACAUGCUCCGCCGCUUGUGCGGGCCCCCGUCAAUUUCUUUGAGUUUUAGCCUUGCGGCCGUACUCCCCAGGCGGGGCACUUAAUGCGUUAGCUGCGGCACAGAGACCGUGGAAUGGCCCCCACACCUAGCGCCCACCGUUUACGGCGUGGACUAC
rnacentral:misc_RNA from 1 species